CUCUGGGAUAAGCCUGGGAAACUGGGUCUAAUACUGGAUAUGACUUCUCACCGCAUGGUGGGGGGUGGAAAGAUUUAUUGGUCUUGGAUGGACUCGCGGCCUAUCAGCUUGUUGGUGAGGUAAUGGCUCACCAAGGCGACGACGGGUAGCCGGCCUGAGAGGGUGACCGGCCACACUGGGACUGAGACACGGCCCAGACUCCUACGGGAGGCAGCAGUGGGGAAUAUUGCACAAUGGGCGCAAGCCUGAUGCAGCGACGCCGCGUGAGGGAUGACGGCCUUCGGGUUGUAAACCUCUUUCAGUAGGGAAGAAGCGAAAGUGACGGUACCUGCAGAAGAAGCGCCGGCUAACUACGUGCCAGCAGCCGCGGUAAUACGUAGGGCGCGAGCGUUAUCCGGAAUUAUUGGGCGUAAAGAGCUCGUAGGCGGUUUGUCGCGUCUGCCGUGAAAGUCCGGGGCUUAACCCCGGAUCUGCGGUGGGUACGGGCAGACUAGAGUGCAGUAGGGGAGACUGGAAUUCCUGGUGUAGCGGUGAAAUGCGCAGAUAUCAGGAGGAACACCGAUGGCGAAGGCAGGUCUCUGGGCUGUAACUGACGCUGAGGAGCGAAAGCAUGGGGAGCGAACAGGAUUAGAUACCCUGGUAGUCCAUGCCGUAAACGUUGGGCACUAGGUGUGGGGGACAUUCCACGUUUUCCGCGCCGUAGCUAACGCAUUAAGUGCCCCGCCUGGGGAGUACGGCCGCAAGGCUAAAACUCAAAGGAAUUGACGGGGGCCCGCACAAGCGGCGGAGCAUGCGGAUUAAUUCGAUGCAACGCGAAGAACCUUACCAAGGCUUGACAUGUUCCUGACC
rnacentral:rRNA from 1 species